GAUGAACGCUGGCAGCGUGCCUAAUACAUGCAAGUCGAGCGAAUGGAUUAAGAGCUUGCUUUUAUGAAGUUAGCGGCGGACGGGUGAGUAACACGUGGGUAACCUGCCCAUAAGACUGGGAUAACUCCGGGAAACCGGGGCUAAUACCGGAUAACAUUUUGAACCGCAUGGUUCGAAAUUGAAAGGCGGCUUCGGCUGGCACUUAUGGAUGGACCCGCGUCGCAUUAGCUAGUUGGUGAGGUAACGGCUCACCAAGGCAACGAUGCGUAGCCGACCUGAGAGGGUGAUCGGCCACACUGGGACUGAGACACGGCCCAGACUCCUACGGGAGGCAGCAGUAGGGAAUCUUCCGCAAUGGACGAAAGUCUGACGGAGCAACGCCGCGUGAGUGAUGAAGGCUUUCGGGUCGUAAAACUCUGUUGUUAGGGAAGAACAAGUGCUAGUUGAAUAAGCUGGCACCUCGACGGUACCUAACCAGAAAGCCACGGCUAACUACGUGCCAGCCGCCGCAGUAA
rnacentral:rRNA from 1 species